rnacentral:rRNA from 1 species
GACGAACGCUGGCGGCGUGCUUAACACAUGCAAGUCGAACGGAAAGGCCCUGCUUUUGUGGGGUGCUCGAGUGGCGAACGGGUGAGUAACACGUGAGUAACCUGCCCUUGACUUUGGGAUAACUUCAGGAAACUGGGGCUAAUACCGGAUAGGAGCUCCUGCUGCAUGGUGGGGGUUGGAAAGUUUCGGCGGUUGGGGAUGGACUCGCGGCUUAUCAGCUUGUUGGUGGGGUAGUGGCUUACCAAGGCUUUGACGGGUAGCCGGCCUGAGAGGGUGACCGGCCACAUUGGGACUGAGAUACGGCCCAGACUCCUACGGGAGGCAGAAGUGGGGAAUAUUGCACAAUGGGCGGAAGCCUGAUGCAGCAACGCCGCGUGCGGGAUGACGGCCUUCGGGUUGUAAACCGCUUUCGCCUGUGACGAAGCGUGAGUGACGGUAAUGGGUAAAGAAGCAACGGCUAACUACGUG